rnacentral:snRNA from 1 species
AUCGCUUCUCGGCCUUUUGGCUAAGAUCAAGUGUAGUAUCUGUUCUUAUCAGUUUAAUAUCUGAUACGUCCCCUAUCUGGGGACCAUAUAUUAAAAUGGAUUUUUGGAACAGGGAGAUGGAAGAAGAGCUUGCUCUGUCCACUCCACGCAUCGACCUGGUAUUGCAGUACCUCCAGGACCGGUGCACCUCUC